rnacentral:rRNA from 1 species
UAGGGAAUCUUCCACAAUGGACGCAAGUCUGAUGGAGCAACGCCGCGUGAGUGAAGGUAAGGGUUUCGGCUCGUAAAGCUCUGUUGUUAAAGAAGAACGUGGGUAAGAGUAACUGUUUACCCAGUGACGGUAUUUAACCAGAAAGCCACGGCUAACUACGUGCCAC